rnacentral:rRNA from 1 species
UUGACCGUGCAAAGGUAGCAUAAUUACUUGUCAUUUAAUUGGUGUCUUGUUUGAAUGGGUUAAUAUUGGGUUUCUUUAUGUUUAUAUAGUUUAUUGAAUUUUUGUUGGGGGUGAAGAUACCCCUGUUUUAUAAAAGACGAGAAGACCCUAAAAUCUUUACUUCUAUGGGUCUAUGAAGUUUAAAUAGGGUAUUUUUUAAUCUAAAUUUUAUAAAUCUUUAUUUUAUAAAGUUGGUCAGAGUUACUUUAGGGGUAACAGGGUAAUUAGUUUUUAGAGUUCUUAUCGAAUAACUARAUWACUACCUCGAUGUUGAAUUGAUUUUUAGUUUGCUGUAGGGGGUGAAAUUUUGGGCCUGUUCGGCCUUGUAAAAUCACAUGAUUUGAGUUUAAACCGG